AAAUUGAAGAGUUUGAUCAUGGCUCAGAUUGAACGCUGGCGGCAGGCCUAACACAUGCAAGUCGAACGGUAACAGAAAGCAGCUUGCUGCUUUGCUGACGAGUGGCGGACGGGUGAGUAAUGUCUGGGAAACUGCCUGAUGGAGGGGGAUAACUACUGGAAACGGUAGCUAAUACCGCAUAACGUCGC
rnacentral:rRNA from 1 species